rnacentral:tRNA from 1 species
GCCGCAUCCUGGAGUGCGGCGCCCUGCGGAACCUUUCGACGGUGCCCGCGGAGGCGGCGGCAGAAGCCGGCGCGGCGAUCGAGGCGGCGGAGACGGCA